AUUAUUUGAGAAGGUGGUCAUAAGAAGAAGCAAAUGUGAACCUGUGUUUCAUGUUACAAAACAAGUAGCAGCUAAGAAGGAAAAACCAGAAUCUUGCUGCUCUGAAUCGGAUUUGAUAGUGAUUCCGAGAAACUGCUGCUACAUCUAAAAAGGUUGCAGCUCCUUUAACUAAGAAUGGAAAUUUCAAGAAGAA